rnacentral:rRNA from 2 species
UCAAGUGAGGUAAGGGCAUAUGGUGGAUGCCUGGGCACUUGGAGCCGAAGAAGGACGCGGCAAGCGGCGAAACGCUCCGGGGAGCCGCAAGCGGGCGAAGAUCCGGAGGUAUCCGAAUGGGGGAACCCACUCGAGGUAAUACUCGAGUAUCCACUGAUGAACACAUAGUCAGUGGAGGGGAACCGCGCGAACUGAAACAUCUAAGUAGCGCGAGGAAAAGAAAGAAAUGAAUCGAUUCCCUAAGUAGCGGCGAGCGAAAGGGGAGGAGCCCAAACCUGGCACGGAAGUGUCGGGGGUUAGGGCCCACCGUAGAAGUGAGUGAGUACUCUAGGCGAACGGACCUGGAAAGGCCGGCCGGAGAAGGUGAAAGCCCUGUAGUCGAAAGGGGAAAGCUUGCUGGUGGGUACCAGAGUACCACGGGAUAGGCGACCCUGUGGGAAGGCGGGAGGACCACCUCCUAAGGCUAAAUACUACCAAGUGACCGAUAGCGGAUAGUACCGUGAGGGAAAGGUGAAAAGAACCCCGGGAGGGGAGUGAAAUAGAACCUGAAACCAUAUGCCUACAAGCAGUCAGAGUCUGCGAGAGAGCAGAUGAUGGCGUACUUUUUGUAGAACGGGCCGGCGAGUUACGGUAGCAAGCGAGGUUAAGCGGUAAGCGGAGCCGAAGCGAAAGCGAGUCCGAAAAGGGCGAAAGUUUGCUGCUGUAGACCCGAAACCGUGCGACCUACCCAUAGCCAGGGUGAAGCCGGAGUAAGAUCUGGUGGAGGCCCGAACCACGUUGGCGUUGAAAAGCCAUGGGAUGAGCUGUGGGUAGAGGUGAAAUGCCAAUCGAGCACGGAGAUAGCUGGUUCUCCCCGAAAUAGCUUUAGGGCUAGCCUCAGGGUAGAACCUAUGGAGGUAGAGCACUGAAUGGGCUAGGGGCCAAGUAGGUUACCGAACCCUAUCAAACUCCGAAUGCCAUAGGAAGGAACCUGGGAGUCAGACUACGAGUGAUAAGAUCCGUAGUCGAGAGGGGAACAGCCCAGACCUCCAGCUAAGGUCCCGAAGGGCAUGUUAAGUGGUAAAGGAAGUGGGACUUCGAAGACAACCAGGAUGUUGGCUUAGAAGCAGCCAUACAUUUAAAGAGUGCGUAACAGCUCACUGGUCGAGAGGUCCUGCGCCGAAAAUGAACGGGGCUCAAACAUGCCACCGAAGCUGGGGCUACCGCGGAAGCGGUGGGGUAGGGGAGCGUACUGUACGGGUAGAAGGCAAAGCGUAAGCGAAGCUGGACUGUACAGUAGAGAGAAUGCCGGCAUGAGUAACGAGAGUAAGGUGAGAAACCUUACCGCCGGAAGCCUGAGGUUUCCUGGGGAAGGGUAAUCCACCCAGGGUAAGUCGGGGGCCUAAGCCGAGGCGAAAGCGUAGGCGAUGGGGAACCGGUAGAGAAUCCGGUACCACCGAGGGCCGCAAAGAGAAGUGGGGACGCAGCGAGAUAGGUGGAGCGUGCGGUUGGUAGAGCACGUCCAAUCAGGCACCGAAGGGUACGUAGGCAAAUCCGCGUACUGGCAGGGGCCUGAGAAGGGGAGCCGGAAGGCGAAGCCACCGAAGCAGCUGCCGAGAAAAGCCGCUAUCGAGGUCCAAGGUGCCCGUACUGCAAACCGACACAGGUAGGCGAGGAGAGGAUCCACAGGCGAGCGGGAGAACCCUCAUUAAGGAACUCGGCAAAAUGACUCCGUAACUUCGGGAGAAGGAGUGCCGAAAGGCCGCAGAGAAGAGGCCCAAGCGACUGUUUACCAAAAACACAGGUCUCUGCUAAGUCGGAAGACGAAGUAUAGGGGCUGACGCCUGCCCGGUGCUGGAAGGUUAAGGGGAAGUGUGAGAGCACUGAACCGAAGCCCCAGUGAACGGCGGCCGUAACUAUAACGGUCCUAAGGUAGCGAAAUUCCUUGUCGGGUAAGUUCCGACCCGCACGAAAGGCGUAACGACUUGGGCGCUGUCUUGAUGAGGGGCCCGGUGAAAUUGUAGUACUCGUGAAGAUGCGAGUUACCCGCGAUUGGACAGAAAGACCCCGUGGAGCUUUACUGUAGCCUGUCACUGGAUUUUGGUAAUUCUUGUACAGGAUAGGUGGGAGACGGAGAAGGUAGGGCGCCAGCCUUACUGGAGUCGGCGUUGGGAUACCACCCUGGGAUUAGCGGAAUUCUAACCUAUAGCCGUGGAGCCGGCGUAGGGACAAUGGCAGGUGGGCAGUUUGACUGGGGCGGUCGCCUCCUAAAGGGUAACGGAGGCGCCCAAAGGUUACCUCAGCGCGGACGGGAAUCGCGCGAGAGAGUGCAAAGGCAGAAGGUAGCCUGACUGCGAGAGAGACAUCUCGAGCAGGGACGAAAGUCGGGCUUAGUGAUCCGGCGGCAGUGAGUGGGAACGCCGUCGCUCAACGGAUAAAAGCUACCCCGGGGAUAACAGGCUGAUCUCCCCCAAGAGUCCACAUCGACGGGGAGGUUUGGCACCUCGAUGUCGGCUCAUCGCAUCCUGGGGCUGAAGUAGGUCCCAAGGGUUGGGCUGUUCGCCCAUUAAAGCGGUACGCGAGCUGGGUUCAGAACGUCGUGAGACAGUUCGGUCCCUAUCCGUCGCGGGCGAAGGAAACUUGAGAGGCACUGCCCCUAGUACGAGAGGACCGGGGUGGACGAACCGAUGGUGUACCAGUUGCACCGCCAGGUGCACAGCUGGGUAGCCAAGUUCGGAGGGGAUAAACGCUGAAAGCAUCUAAGCGUGAAGCCCGCCUCAAGAUUAGGUUUCCCACCCGUAAGGGGUAAGACACCUCGAAGACCACGAGGUAGAUAGGCCGGGGGUGUAAGAGUGGAAACACUCUUAGCUGACCGGUACUAAUCAGUCGAGGACUUGACCGA